rnacentral:lncRNA from 1 species
CUCGACCCCAGCCCCCCACCAUAGCUAGAUUGCCGCUCAAUGAAUGGUCGAGGAGGAGGUGGUGGUGGCUGAGAGUAGUACCCAGGGUAGUAACUGGAGUACGGAUCAGAGUAGCCGCCGUAAGGAUACAAAUGCGCCGGAGGAGGCGGUGGAGAUGGAGAAGCAGGUGGCGGUGGUGCCACUACAGGCAGCGGAGGAGGAGGAGGGUGUGAGGAGUACGGAGAAGGAGAAUAUGAUCUAUAGGAAGGCGGCGGCGGAGGGGCAGUAGAGUAAUAAUAGCUAGAUGGAGGGGGUAUCUGGUAAUCCUGGGGAGUUGGAGAUUCACGAAUAGCAAUCUUCAGUCGG